rnacentral:tRNA from 1 species
UGGGGUGCAGCUCAAUGGUACAGCACUCAUCUUGCAUGCAUGAGGCCCUGGCUUCAAUCACCAGCACCCUAA